rnacentral:rRNA from 1 species
UACGGAGGGCGCGAGCAUUAAUCGGAAUUACUGGGCGUAAAGCGCGCGUAGGCUGUUGUGUAAGUUGGGGGUGAAAUCCCACGGCUCAACCGUGGAACAGCCCUUGAUACUGCGCGACUUGAAUCCGGGAGAGGGUGGCGGAAUUCCAGGUGUAGGAGUGAAAUCCGUUGAUAUCUGGAGGAACAUCAGUGGCGAAGGCGGCCACCUGGACCGGUAUUGACGCUGAGGCGCGAAAGCGUGGGGAGCAAACAGG